UUCCUUGAACCGCAUGGUUCAAGGAUGAAAGACGGUUUCGGCUGUCACUUACAGAUGGACCCGCGGCGCAUUAGCUAGUUGGUGGGGAUUAAUGGCUCACCAAGGCGACGAUGCGUAGCCGACCUGAGAGGGUGAUCGGCCACACUGGGACUGAGACACGGCCCAGACUCCUACGGGAGGCAGCAGUAGGGAAUCUUCCGCAAUGGACGAAAGUCUGACGGAGCAACGCCGCGUGAGUGAUGAAGGUUUUCGGAUCGUAAAGCUCUGUUGUUAGGGAAGAACAAGUGCGAGAGUAACUGCUCGCACCUUGACGGUACCUAACCAGAAAGCCACGGCUAACUACGUGCCAGCAGCCGCGGUAAUACGUAGGUGGCAAGCGUUGUCCGGAAUUAUUGGGCGUAAAGGGCUCGCAGGCGGUUUCUUAAGUCUGAUGUGAAAGCCCCCGGCGUCAACCGGGGAGGGUCAUUGGAAACUGGGAAACUUGACGUGCAGAAGAGGAGAGUGGAAUUCGCACGUGUAGCGGUGAAAUGCGUAGAGAUGUGGAGGAACACCAGUGGCGAAAGCGACUCUCUGGUCUGUAACUGACGCU
rnacentral:rRNA from 1 species